UGCGAGAGAGUAAAGUGCAUUUGCCCCAUUAAUGGGGAGCAUAAAACAUCGAAGACAUGCUCUUCCUCUCUGUGCGGUGCUCUCUUGAAAUUCGCGUGUUUUUUUGCGAAUCUCUGCGAGAAGCUCGAGUGGAGCAACUUUGUUGCCGUACAUUGACGUCUCCGCCUGCAUGUGCCGAUCGUUAAUUUGCACUCUGGCCGCUCUCUCUCUCUUCCGCUCUCUUUCCGCGUGGCGCGAGAAGAAGAAGCGCCAGAUAUGGGGAGCAUCGAAUCGGGUUUGGGCGUCUAGCCGACGAUAUAGGUCGAGCCACUCAGCUGGGCUUCGUUCGGCCUGCGCCGCGUAUUUAUGCCACCUUCGGAGACGCAGCGAUUUGCGUGUGUCGCACUCGCAUUUAUCACAUUGAAAGGUCCCCUUUCAUCGACAGCCGUUAUAUUAGUCAGGAUCGUUUAUACAGUACGGCGGAGAUAAUUUGUCCGAUGCUCGGCUCCAUUAAAAGAUACUUCCCCCAGGCGAUGCACGCAACUCCCAAAAAGGACAUUGGCGACCCCCGCAUCGAUCACCAGCGUUCAGUGUGUUUUAUUUUUAACAACUCCACACUCACCACAAACGACGCAUCGGUGGCAAUUGCAAACAUUUAUACAAAUUGACGUUUAGCUGUCGCAG